UUAAGCGACUAAGCGUACACGGUGGAUGCCCUGGCAGUCAGAGGCGAUGAAGGACGUGCUAAUCUGCGAUAAGCGUCGGUAAGGUGAUAUGAACCGUUAUAACCGGCGAUUUCCGAAUGGGGAAACCCAGUGUGNUCCAAGGCUAAAUACUCCUGACUGACCGAUAGUGAACCAGUACCGUGAGGGAAAGGCGAAAAGAACCCCGGCGAGGGGAGUGAAAAAGAACCUGAAACCGUGUACGUACAAGCAGUGGGAGCCUCUUUAUGGGGUGACUGCGUACCUUUUGUAUAAUGGGUCAGCGACUUAUAUUCUGUAGCAAGGUUAACCGAAUAGGGGAGCCGAAGGGAAACCGAGUCUUAACUGGGCGUUAAGUUGCAGGGUAUAGACCCGAAACCCGGUGAUCUAGCCAUGGGCAGGUUGAAGGUUGGGUAACACUAACUGGAGGACCGAACCGACUAAUGUUGAAAAAUUAGCGGAUGACUUGUGGCUGGGGGUGAAAGGCCAAUCAAACCGGGAGAUAGCUGGUUCUCCCCGAAAGCUAUUUAGGUAGCGCCUCGUGAAUUCAUCUCCGGGGGUAGAGCACUGUUUCGGCAAGGGGGUCAUCCCGACUUACCAACCCGAUGCAAACUGCGAAUACCGGAGAAUGUUAUCACGGGAGACACACGGCGGGUGCUAACGUCCGUCGUGAAGAGGGAAACAACCCAGACCGCCAGCUAAGGUCCCAAAGUCAUGGUUAAGUGGGAAACGAUGUGGGAAGGCCCAGACAGCCAGGAUGUUGGCUUAGAAGCAGCCAUCAUUUAAAGAAAGCGUAAUAGCUCACUGGUCGAGUCGGCCUGCGCGGAAGAUGUAACGGGGCUAAACCAUGCACCGAAGCUGCGGCAGCGACGCUUAUGCGUUGUUGGGUAGGGGAGCGUUCUGUAAGCCUGUGAAGGUGUGCUGUGAGGCAUGCUGGAGGUAUCAGAAGUGCGAAUGCUGACAUAAGUAACGAUAAAGCGGGUGAAAAGCCCGCUCGCCGGAAGACCAAGGGUUCCUGUCCAACGUUAAUCGGGGCAGGGUGAGUCGACCCCUAAGGCGAGGCCGAAAGGCGUAGUCGAUGGGAAACAGGUUAAUAUUCCUGUACUUGGUGUUACUGCGAAGGGGGGACGGAGAAGGCUAUGUUGGCCGGGCGACGGUUGUCCCGGUUUAAGCGUGUAGGCUGGUUUUCCAGGCAAAUCCGGAAAAUCAAGGCUGAGGCGUGAUGACGAGGCACUACGGUGCUGAAGCAACAAAUGCCCUGCUUCCAGGAAAAGCCUCUAAGCAUCAGGUAACAUCAAAUCGUACCCCAAACCGACACAGGUGGUCAGGUAGAGAAUACCAAGGCGCUUGAGAGAACUCGGGUGAAGGAACUAGGCAAAAUGGUGCCGUAACUUCGGGAGAAGGCACGCUGAUAUGUAGGUGAAGUCCCUCGCGGAUGGAGCUGAAAUCAGUCGAAGAUACCAGCUGGCUGCAACUGUUUAUUAAAAACACAGCACUGUGCAAACACGAAAGUGGACGUAUACGGUGUGACGCCUGCCCGGUGCCGGAAGGUUAAUUGAUGGGGUCAGCGCAAGCGAAGCUCUUGAUCGAAGCCCCGGUAAACGGCGGCCGUAACUAUAACGGUCCUAAGGUAGCGAAAUUCCUUGUCGGGUAAGUUCCGACCUGCACGAAUGGCGUAAUGAUGGCCAGGCUGUCUCCACCCGAGACUCAGUGAAAUUGAACUCGCUGUGAAGAUGCAGUGUACCCGCGGCAAGACGGAAAGAC
rnacentral:rRNA from 1 species